UUUCUAUUCUCUUUAUUCUACUUUCUCUUUUUUCAAUUCUCGUUCUUUCUUCUUUUUCCUUCUUUCGCAAAUUUGAUCAGCAUGUGAGAAAGCACUAAUGCUCUAGAGAGAAACAUAUUUAGGGUUUUUAAGACUAGGGUUUAAGGUGAGUUAUAGGAGAGGAAAUUCGAGGAAGAGGGACUUAAUACUGAGGCUGUGAGCGUUCUUGGAUGGGAGUUUGGUGGAACCUAUAAAAGGGGACAAAUUGUGUGAAAAAAGGACAACAAUAAAAGUUGCAAACCAUGCCUAUGCAUCUUAGAAAGCUUGACAAAGCAAGAGAAAGCAAGGAAGGCAAAGAGGAGUGCAAUUUCAACCAUUGUGACGCCCAACGUUUUUUGUGCAGCUUUAUGUUUUCAACACGUGAUUGAUUAGCUGGCUUCUGAAACUUGCACACCGAGCUUUGUACUUCUCCAAACACACUUCGUUUGUAUUUUUAGAAGCUUGCAAGGUAAGUUUCAGAGUCCUCUCUUCAUCUAUAAAAGGGAGGCUCUUCUCCUUUGUAAAGGGAACUUGAAUGUUAUAAAGAAACGCUGCUGAGAUUCUUCCAGCCAUCUUUGCUUCGAGUUCAUUGUCUUGUGCCUCUUUAGCACGUCCUCCUCUAGCUUCCUUCUCCUUUCGAAGGCUGUUUGAGCUUGAGAUACACUAUACACACAUCCAAACUCCACAAAACCUUAAAUCAAACACUUGGCGCGCGUCUAAACUUCCAUCAUUCUCCUCCAAUCCGCUGCUGCAUUCUGGUUCGUGGAGCACUCUCGCUUGAAGUGUGGAGUUGUACCUAUCAUUUGGAAUCAAGAGCCAGCACGUCCAUGCAUUGCUUCAAGAGCUAAGUUGCUCUUAACUUCAUUUUCUUACUUUCGUGUUGUGUUGUUCCAGUUUUGUCCAUGUGUUUGAAUUUGUUUUCACUUCUGCUUUGGCUUAAAUUCGCGUUUGUUAUUGAUGUUCGUGUUCCUUGAGUUUUCCUUAGUGUUUGUUCAUCAUUUUAAUCGGUGCAAUUCAUUUGUUUGAGUUUCAUUCCAACUUUAAUUUCCAUUUUCCAGUUUUGUCACGUCAUGUGCCUUUUGUGCAAUUUUCACUUCUGUCAGUAUGUGUUUGAAUCUGUUUCAGCUUUCAUUUUUCAUUUUAAUUCGUGUUCAGUGCAUUUGAUAGCUAUAUAUUGAUCAUAUAAAACAAUGAUAUAUUGUCUAGCUUUGAUCAAAAGAGCUUAGACCAUUGACCGAGAGUUUUCAGUUUCAAAAAUCUGCAUUAAAAUGCAUUUUUAGUUUAAUAUGAUCCAAUCUGUUUCUGUCCAGAUUUCAUGUUUCUCAACCUUUGUGCAAGUUUGUUUAAUGUUGUUAAACAUGUUUCAAGGAGUAGCAACUCAUAAUAAUAACAUAAUUGCAAAAUGUAUAGUCGAGUUGAUCAAAAUCUGGUAAAAUAGUGUUGUCAUUGUUUUCAGUCUAGUGUUUGCAUCGUGCUUACUGUCCUUGCUUGUUUUAGGUCACUCAAACUCUGCUAGCUAAUAUUCUGUAGCUAGAUCUAGUUGAAUAGGACCUUUCUUAAACAUUUGUUGAUCUAUCCAGCUUUGAAUCUUCUAAAUUUUCCAUUAUGUUGUAGUUUUGGUUCAUUUUUUCUGCAAUUUUAAGCAAUUGCUACUAUCAAUUGCUAAUUCUAUUUGUUUCAGUGUCGUCUAAACAUUUGUGCACAUGUAUUUUACCAUUUGAAAGCCGUGUGUACUGUUCAUUUGGUCAGUUUUGACCAUAUAGGCAAAAUUAUAAUCCAAACCAUCAAAGUUGCUUGAAAUUGAAAGUGGACCACUGAUUUUCUGGUGUAAUCUGUUUCUUGGCUAUUUAAGUGUUUGCACACAUCCAAUUUGAUGAUAUAAAUUUGCUUGAAAUCUCAAUUGAGCCUUAGAAACACUACCACUCAUUUUUUCCAGUGAAAGCACCAUUUUCCAACUCAUUUUUUGGUGCAGCUUGAUAAUCAUGUGCUGUUUGAAAUUUGCCAAACUUUAAUCUUCAUUGGAUUGGCAAAAGCUGGUUUCAAGUUUCCAAAUGCAAUGAUAUGAUUAAAAAAGUGUAAAACAUCAAGAAAAAGAAAAAGAAAACCAAGCAAUCCAAUUUUGACCAUCAAAAUCGAAAAUACCACAAUUCUGCAUUUUUUUGGGACAUUUUGUCAAACAAUUUGGCUUUUUCAUCAAACAUUUUCACUGCACUUGUUUGUGAUCUUCGUUUUGAGUUUUUCUUGUUUGUUUAAUCUAUUCUAGAUCCUAUCCUAGGUUCCUUUUGUGUUCCUUCUUUUAUUCCAGCCUUUAAGUCCUUUGAAUUCAACAUUUUUGGCUUCCAAAUGUGCUUUGCAAUCUGUUUUCAGUAUUAAAAAUAUGGUGCAAAACAAGUGUUUUUGUGCUCACUGUUUGCUGGUUUGUUUGGCUGUUGUGACAUCUUGGUAACGUUUAUGAAGUCCAGACACCUUGCUCCAAGGGGGUAGCAUCUUAGGGAGUGGAAGAUUUUUUAAAUUGGCAACAAGCGUGCAGCUCAAAGCUAUACUUCUUUUGCUGGUUCAGCAGCACUUCUACACCAAACACAACACAUUUUCUCACCAAUUUGGAACUGCACAAGACAACAACUGCAAAUUCACUUGUCUUGUUGUAUUUUACACAUAGUUUCAUGUAUUUUUGAAUCAUUGUAUCACAGAACAUUUGUAGUUUAAUUGUUUUACAUUUGCAACUUAAGUGGCUUGGGAAUAUGCUUUUCAAGCAAUUCCAAGUGCACAUUUGAACAUUGUAAUAGUCUAGUCUCCGCAUCUUAGUGUGAAAGUGUGUCAAGAGGCUCCAAGUGUCACUUGCACUUUCACUU